rnacentral:rRNA from 1 species
GGGGGGGGGGGGGGGGGGGGGGGGGGGGGGGGGGGCGGGGGGGGGGGGGGGGGGCGGGGUCGGCUGGCGUUGGCGGCGGGCGGGUGGGUGGCACGUGGAUCACCUCCCUGUAAGACUGGGAUACCUGCGGGAAACCGGCGCUCAUACCGGAUAAUAUAUUGCACCGCCUGGUUCACUAGUGCCCGACGGUUUUGCUGUCACUUCUCGAUGGCUCCGCGCCGCAUUAGCUAGUUGGUAAGGUAACGGCUUACCAAGGCAACGAUGCGUAGCCGACCUGAGAGGGUGAGCGGCCACAAUGGAACUGAGACACGGUCCAGACUCCUACGGGAGGCAGCAGUAGGGAAGCUUCCGCAAUGGGCGAAAGCCUGACGGAGCAACGCCGCGUGAGUGAUGAAGGUCUUCGGAUCGUAAAACUCUGUUAUUAGGGAAGAACAAAUGUGUAAGUAACUAUGCACGUCUUGACGGUACCUAAUCAGAAAGCCACGGCUAACUACGUG